rnacentral:misc_RNA from 1 species
GAUAAAUUGCCCAGUCCUGCAAUUCAAUUUUCAAAAUAUUAGGUCAGACUAAAAGAGCAAUUAUAAAUAUAGGCAGAAUUGCUUGACAAGCAUGCAUUUCAUAACAGUUAAUUGCGAAUAAUAUUUUAGUCAAGUUUGGUUUAAAUCAACAUUGACUUAGUUUUAGUUCUUUUACUAUCAGGAAAAGGAUGAAAAGAAAUUAGCUCGAUGAAAAUAUCACUCCAUUGAGCUUCUGUAGUUUAUUAGCAAAUUUAUCAAAAGCUUAAAAGAAGAAUGCAACUCUUUGUUCUCCAUACAAGGCACAUGCCAUUUUGUGUCGUUGCAUACAAAAAUGAACUACUUGAAACAUUAAAUUCUGCAACUAUAUGAAGAAAAUAUGGAAAAUCAUAAGACAGAUAUAUGCAGCUUUUGUGAAGCAUAAGUAUCUCCAUGGAAUUCUUGAACAAUGUAACGAAAAAAUUGUAACUUUCCCAAAUGGAUCAAGAGACUUCAGUUUGAUUUCUAAAUAAUCCAUGGUAAUGUGAUCUUAGACAUGGUAGGAUGAAGCAUAAGGAUUAACAAGACAACCCCAAUGUGUUUGAAAUUAAGACUUAGUUGCUUGAGUUGGAAAUGUUGAGUUUUACGAUGGAAAGAAAGAUCAAUAUUUGCAGUCAUUGUCAAGUAAAUUAGGUCAUAUGUCUCGCAGUUCCUCCAGCAUAUGCCUUUGGAUUCUAUGUGUCAUUAAAUUCAUGGUUAUGAGUGUGCAUGAUUGUUGUGUGGGUCACACUUGACACCCUUAGGCGAUUUUUGUAUGCCUGUCUUGCAUCAUACAUUUCCCCUUCAUAUAAGAAUUUAUUUUCUGUUGUAAAUCUAAUCAAAGUUGUGAUGGUCUCCCACAUUGCUAUUAUAUGCUUAAAUAAAUCAAACUAAUAUAUCUGACUUUAAUGAUCCUUUGUCAUAAUUUCAAGAGGUAAGUAAGACACUUGCCAAGACAUAAGACAGGAGUCUUU